GUGAAAGGAUCACCACGGGUUCCGGAAACUCAACAUUUUUUUAACCAAUACGGCUGGCGCAUAGAGUCGUCCAGCAAGAGUGCAUUCCUUCUACUUAUAAAAGUAAGUUAACUGUCAAACAGCCUCAGACAGGCUUUUCAGGAAGUAUUCUAGAAGAUGGCAUUGUCAUCGUAGGAUAUGACAGCUCAGGGUGUUAUUGCCCCUGAAGACUUUCCAAUGAGACAAGAUGUGGAGAACCCGUCCCUUGUUCUGCUGACAGCAUUCUCUACUUUCUUUGGAAACUAUUUCCUUGCCCAGCUAUGCCAGGGAUGGGCAGAUUGUGUAAAUGUGAUCAUUCAGGACUCUUCUGAGAUUUUCCAAAUAGAAAUUAAGGAAAAAGACGAUUUUUCCUGAAGUCGACGCAGAAAGAUGCUAGUGCCCAUGACUCCAGCCUUCUAGGGGAUGCUGGUUUGAGAGAAUGAAGCCCUCUUCCUGAGGAAAG